UAAGACGUGGGAUAACGUACGGGAAACGGAGCUAAUACCGGAUAAUAUUCGAACCGCAUGGUUCGAUAGUGAAAGAUGGUUUUGCUAUCACUUAUAGAUGGACCCGCGCCGUAUUAGCUAGUUGGUAAGGUAACGGCUUACCAAGGCGACGAUACGUAGCCGACCUGAGAGGGUGAUCGGCCACACUGGAACUGAGACACGGUCCAGACUCCUACGGGAGGCAGCAGGC
rnacentral:rRNA from 1 species